UACGUAGGGUGCAAGCGUUAAUCGGAAUUACUGGGCGUAAAGCGUGCGCAGGCGGCUUUGCAAGACAGAUGUGAAAUCCCCGGGCUUAACCUGGGAACUGCAUUUGUGACUGCAUGGCUAGAGUGCGGCAGAGGGGGAUGGAAUUCCGCGUGUAGCAGUGAAAUGCGUAGAUAUGCGGAGGAACACCGAUGCGAAGGCAAUCCCCUGGGCCUGCACUGACGCUUCAUGCACGAAAAGCGUGGGGGAGCAAAACAGGAUUAGAUACCCUU
rnacentral:rRNA from 1 species